AUUGAACGCUGGCGGCAUGCCUUACACAUGCAAGUCGAACGGCAGCACGGGGGCAACCCUGGUGGCGAGUGGCGAACGGGUGAGUAAUACAUCGGAAUGUACCCAGUAGUGGGGGAUAACUAGUCGAAAGAUUAGCUAAUACCGCAUACGCACUAUGGUGGAAAGCGGGGGAUCGCAAGACCUCGCGCUAUUGGAGCAGCCGAUGUCCGAUUAGGUAGUUGGUGAGGUAACGGCUUACCAAGGCGACGAUCUGUAGCGGGUCUGAGAGGAUGAUCCGCCACACUGGAACUGAGACACGGUCCAGACUCCUACGGGAGGCAGCAGUGGGGAAUUUUGGACAAUGGGCGCAAGCCUGAUCCAGCCAUGCCGCGUGAGUGAAGAAGGCC
rnacentral:rRNA from 1 species